GUUGAGACCGUUGCUGCACCUUCCUGAAGCCCCAGUAUCAAAGUCAAUCCCAUAAGGAAGGUAAUUAACUUUAGCUGGAGUGCUAAGGUAGUUAUUGUUUCCGUUAUCAAAGAGGGAAUCUCCAAAGACGAAGUAGCAAGGAACUUGAGGUACGGCCUUUCCAUAAGUCCAGUGUUGCCAGUUUGACACCAGCAACACCACAGACAACACCCACAAUGCCUUAAGCCCACUUUCCAUUGACAAAUAAAAUGAAAGAAGGAAACAAAAACAGUAAAUAUAGAAAGAAGGAAGAAGUGCGUAGCUAGGGAAGAGUGCUUUGAAGUAGAACGAAGCAGGCCUAUUUAUAGAGUGGAGAUCUAGCUAUCAGCUUGUAAAUGUGUUGUUCUAUUGUAAGCCACGUGAUUUUUUCAAUCUAAUGAGUUGGCUAUAGUUCUGAUUUUUUAA